rnacentral:rRNA from 1 species
AACGAACGCUGGCGGCAUGCCUAACACAUGCAAGUCGAACGAGACCUUCGGGUCUAGUGGCGCACGGGUGCGUAACGCGUGGGAAUCUGCCCUUGGGUUCGGAAUAACUUCGGGAAACUGAAGCUAAUACCGGAUGAUGACGUAAGUCCAAAGAUUUAUCGCCCAAGGAUGAGCCCGCGUAGGAUUAGCUAGUUGGUGAGGUAAAGGCUCACCAAGGCGACGAUCCUUAGCUGGUCUGAGAGGAUGAUCAGCCACACUGGGACUGAGACACGGCCCAGACUCCUACGGGAGGCAGCAGUGGGGAAUAUUGGACAAUGGGCGAAAGCCUGAUCCAGCAAUGCCGCGUGAGUGAUGAAGGCCUUAGGGUUGUAAAGCUCUUUACCCGGGAUGAUAAUGACAGUACCGGGAGAAUAAGCUCCGGCUAACUCCGUGCCAGCAGCCGCGGUAAAGUGACAUGUG